rnacentral:snRNA from 1 species
GGAUGUGAGGGUGAUCUGGCUACGACAUCUGUCACCCCAUUGAUCGCCAGAGUUGAUUCGGCUGAUCUGGCUGGCUAGGCAGGUGUCCCCUUCCUCCCUCAACGAUCCAUAUGUGUCCCUCCCAAAGAUGUGCACUCGGUCAAAGAGGACGACCACCCCCGAUAGAGGAGAACCGUUCCUCGGUCAGGGGUCUAUGAAUAGCUGCGCUCCCCUGCUAGAACCUCCAAACAAGCUCUUAAGGUAUAUGUGUCUUCCUGGGAAGAACAAGAUCCCAAGUUUGAUCCCUGGUUUAAAAAAAAAAUAUAUAUAUAUAUAUAUAUAUAUAUAUUCUUU